AACUGCUCCGGUAGCUUGGUGGUUAGAGCGUCUGCCUCAGUUGGAGGAGGUCGCGGGUUCAAAUCCCAGCCGAGUUA